AUCAGAAGGUUGGCAGUUCGAAUCCCCGCGAUGGGGUGAGCUCCCGUUGCUCAGUCCCUGCUCCAGCCAACCUAGCAGUUCGAAAGGACGUCAAUGUGCAAGUAGAUAAAUAAGUACUGCUCUGGUGGGAAGGUAAACGGCGUUUCCAUGCGCUGCUCUGGUUCGCCAGAAGCGGCUUAGUCAUGCUGGCCACAUGACCCGGAAGCUGCACGCCGGUUCCCUUGGCCAAUAAAGCGAGAUGAGCGCCGCAACCCCAGAGUCGGUCACGACUGGACCUAAUGGUCAGGGGUCCCCUUACCUUUACCUUAAGACUUUGAAUGGUUAUAUGCUCUGCCUCUGUGGUUGGAAGCAGUAAUCCUCCUGAAUAGCAGUUGCUGGAGCCUCCAGGAGGGGCUCUUGUUCCCAGGUCCUGCUUAGGGGUUUCCCACACACUUAAUGUUUAAAAAACGUUUUUGGUUUCACCUGCAGGUAAAAGGAGAAAGAUCAAGAUGGAGAAUUCCCACCAAGGGAAAGCUGUGCCAGAGGGAAUAUCUCUAAGGAACAUUUCUUUGUUAGCUGAGAUUGCAGAGCAAAAGUGUUAAGUUGUGGGUGAACAUAUCAGACGACACAGCGAUUCUUCAAACAGCUCUUGUUUAUUCACAGACCCAGAACAGAACUUAACUGAAGGGUUCAGCCAGCCUGCUUAUAUAGAGCUCCACUAUAACGCAACAGUAACAACUUUCUGUAACUAUCCAAUCACUGAAUGUCACUUUCAAUUCCUUAUUUGCAUAUGUGGACCUGAGUAAAAACUAUGUACAGUAUCCCCCUGCUGGCCCAGGGUGAGAACUUCAGUACAUAACAAAAAGCGUGAGUCCAAAGGACACCAGGGAGCAAAUGAACGCAGCCAUCACCCAGAAGUCCAGUUCCCUUUAGUGAAAGCCCAGUGCACUUUGGAGCAGAAAAGCCCUUCUCCUCAAAUCCUGGGAGGAACGGCCAGCACAGUUUGGGUCUGGGGAGGCUGAAUGCCGAAGAACAUUCUCAUGAAUGCUCCAUGUGUGGGAGAGCUUCCAGCGAGGAUCCGCCCUGACUGAGCAGCAGAGGAUGCACAUGGGAGAGGAAGCGUACGAAUAGUCUGAGGACGAGAAAUCCUUUCCCCAGUGAGAGAUCUGGGUGAGCCAUCAGAGAGGCCUCAUGGAAGAGAAACCACACAAGUGCUCCCAUUGUGGGGAAAGCUUCAGCCAGAGGACCAGUUUGGUGAGUCACCUGCAAAUCCACACGGGAGGGAGGCCUCACGAAUUCCAGGACUGCGGGAAAAGCUUUUCCGGGAGAGAUACGUUACUCAAACACCGGAGAACCCACACAGGGGAGAAGCCGGACAAGUGCCAUAAUUAUGGGAGAAACUUCAACCACCCGUGCAACUUAAUUGAACAUCGGAAGACACACACAGGGGAGAAGCCUCACAAAUGCCCUGAGUGCAGGAAAAACUUUUCUCAGUGAGCUACGCUGAUCAAACACCAAAGGACCCACGCGGAGGAGAAACCUUAUGAAUGCCCCGAGUGUGGAAAAAGCUUCAUUCAGAAGGAGGCAUUAAUUGGACACCAGAUAAUUCAUUUAGGGAAUACGUCCAGCUAAUAUUCUUGAAAAGUGCCACAUUCCACAGAAAAAAAGAGGGAGAAAUGUUGGUUACAACCUGAUUUGCAGUGGAGAACACACACCUUAUCUAUGUCACAAGACAUAGGCAGAUGGCCGGUUGUUGUUAAUUCAAGAAAGUUCUCUGUUGAGGCUUCCUGCCCCAGGAGGGGACAAACAAAACUGCCCACCCUCUGCUCUGGUCCCCAUGAUGGAGGCAGGGAGACAGAGACACAUUAUAUCCACGUUGCAGAUUCUCAUAGCGCUAGAAGUCGUGGCCCCCAAACAAAGCUGAAUGUUGGGAGAUCCAGGACAGAAAAAAGCAUUUCGUUGUGGAGCGUGUAAAUGAACCAUGGUACUCACUGCCACUGGAGGCAGAGACGGCAACCAACUUAAAAUCAUGGAAUUGCACAGUUGAACGGUACAGCCAGGGUCACCUAGUCCAGAUCUCUGCAGUGCAGGAAUCUUUUGCCCAACGUGGUGCUCAAGCCAGUGACCCUUAGAUUAAGACCAUCAUGCUCCACCCAUUGAGCUGGGGACAAGACAAGGGGACAAAUUCAUGGAGCACUAGGCUGUGAAGCACAACGGUUCUGCUCUGCCUCCACAGUCCAGAGGCAGAAGACUUCUAAAUCUCAGGUGCUGGAAACUGCAAGGGGGGGGGGAGGCUGGUUUUACACACUGGUCCCGCUUGCAGGUGUCCCACGGGCGUCUGGGUGGCCCCUCUUGGGCGCUGGACCAAAUGGGACACUUUUUGUGUCCUUCCAUGGGGUGAGUGGAAACUCACAGGGAAGAUGUUUGUAUGAUGACACACAAACAUCGCCAACAUCAUAUAGGGGAUGGAGCAAGGGGAGGUGGCCCUCAGGCAGGUGGGGGGCGGCAAAGGUGUCUUUAUUUUGACAUCUGCCACCACCCCAUGGGAAAUGCAGGAAAAGGAGAACAGGCUGCACAGGUCAGUAGUUGGCGGCCCUGAUAGUGGAGCCGGAGAAAGUCCUGCCAGAUCUUUGAGAGAGGUCAAUUCCAUAGGCAUUUGUUGUUCUAGCUCUUAGUAUCCCAGGAGAGAAAUCAGAUGCAGCUUUUGCUGAAAAGACCCUCCUUGGGGGAGCAUUGUGCUUUUGGGGUGGGGCUGAGGAACACAGGGAAGAUGUCCUGCGAAAUGUAUAGGGCAGCCCAGCCCAUGGGGCCCCCUCCGGAAGCUGCCGGACUGCAGCUCCCAUCCUCUCUGACCCCUGGCCAUGCUGGAUGGGUCAGACGGGAGUUGGAGUCCAGCAUUAUCCAGAGGACACCCCAUUUGAUGCCCCUGAUAGACAGAAUCCAGCCUGUAAAUACGGAACGUUAAUGCAUCAACCCUAAACACAUAUAACUGGGCCGAAGCCCCACUCAAUGCAAUGAGGUUUAUUUCUGACAACGUGUGGAGAUGGGGAGGCUGUAUUUGCAGAGGGCAUUUGAAGCUGACGCCCUGUUCCAUUUUUUUUAUUUUCUUCCCAUCUGAGGUCUCCAGAGUAAGGAGCUUUCCUGCCUGAUGUGGGGGAAGGGGUUCAUUUUUUAGUCCUCUAUUAA
rnacentral:lncRNA from 1 species